rnacentral:tRNA from 1 species
GGCGGAUUCGUCUAAUCGGUCAGGACAAGAGGCUUUCAAUCUCUAAAUAGCGGGUUCGAUCCCCCUAUCCGUCACCA